CCUACGGGUGGCAGCAGUGGGGAAUUUUGGACAAUGGGGGCAACCCUGAUCCAGCCAUUCCGCGUGAGUGAAGAAGGCCUUCGGGUUGUAAAGCUCUUUCGCAAGGGAAGAAAACUUACUCAAUAACACUGGGUGAGGCUGACGGUACCUUGAUAAGAAGCACCGGCUAACUACGUGCCAGCAGCCGCGGUAAUACGUAGGGUGCGAGCGUUAAUCGGAGUUACUGGGCGUGAUGCUGGAACUGGGGGGUGAACUCCCCGGGCUCAACCUGGGAACUGCGUUUGAAACUACAAGGCUAGCGUAUGGCAGAGGGGGGUAGAAUUCCACGUGUAGCAGUGAAAUGCGUAGAGAUGUGGAGGAAUACCAAUGGCGAAGGCAGCCCCCUGGGUCAAUACUGACGCUCAUGCACGAAAGCGUGGGGAGCAAACAGGAUUAGAUACCCUUGUAGUC
rnacentral:rRNA from 1 species